GGCUUAACACAUGCAAGUCGAACGCCCCGCAAGGGGAGUGGCAGACGGGUGAGUAACGCGUGGGAAUCUACCCAUCCCUACGGAAUAACGCAUGGAAACGUGUGCUAAUACCGUAUACGCCCUACGGGGGAAAGAUUUAUCGGGGAUGGAUGAGCCCGCGUUGGAUUAGCUAGUUGGUGGGGUAAAGGCCUACCAAGGCGACGAUCCAUAGCUGGUCUGAGAGGAUGAUCAGCCACAUUGGGACUGAGACACGGCCCAAACUCCUACGGGAGGCAGCAGUGGGGAAUAUUGGACAAUGGGCGCAAGCCUGAUCCAGCCAUGCCGCGUGAGUUUAAGGCCUUAGGGUUGUAAAGCUC
rnacentral:rRNA from 1 species